rnacentral:rRNA from 1 species
UACGUAGGGGGCAAGCGUUGUCCGGAUUUAUUGGGCGUAAAGAGCGUGUAGGCGGCCAGAUAGGUCCGUUGUGAAAACUCGAGGCUCAACUUCGAGCUGUCGGUGGAAACUUUCUGGCUAGAGUCCGGAAGAGGAGAAUGGAAUUCCUGGUGUAGCGGUGAAAUGCGCAGAUAUCAGGAAGAACACCCGUGGCGAAGGCGGUUCUCUGGGACGGUACUGACGCUGAGACACGAAAGCGUGGGGAGCAAACAGG